CCUACGGGUGGCAGCAGUGGGGGAUAUUGCACAAUGGGGGAAACCCUGAUGCAGCGACGCCGCGUGGGUGAAGAAGUAUUUCGGUAUGUAAAGCCCUAUCAGCAGGGAAGAAAAAAGCCGUUACCUGACUAAGAAGCCCCGGCUAACUACGUGCCAGCAGCCGCGGUAAGACGUAGGGGGCGAGCGUUAGCCGGAUUCACCGGGUGUAAAGGGAGCGUAAACGGCCGUUCAAGCCAGGAGUGAAAACCCGGGGCCCAACCCCGGGACUGCUCUUGGAAACGUGCGGCUGGAGUGCGGGAGGGGCAGGCGGAAUUCCUGGUGUAGCGGUGAAAUGCGUAGAUAUAAGGAGGAACACCGGCGGCGAAGGCGGCCUGCUGGACCGCGACUGACGUUGAGGCUCGAAAGCGUGGGGAGCGAACAGGAUUAGAUACCCUUGUAGUC
rnacentral:rRNA from 1 species